UUAAAAGCGUUGAAAGAGCUAAGUAAAUGCAUGUAAAUCGUUUACAGGGAGGAAGCAUCUGAGACUGUAAGUGCUUCUAGCGUGGCAUUCAUUGAAAUUUCACUCGGGAGCUGACCAUUAGGUCCGGGUUUUAACCCGUUAUUUCAUCGAAGUGGGCAUAUGUAAAUGUGCCAACAAGGGUGGUACCGCGAAACGACCAUACAAGUCUCGUCCCUUUC
rnacentral:ncRNA from 1 species